GAAGAAGAAGAAGAAAGGAGGAGGAGGAAAAGAAGGGAAAAAAAUAGCUGACAGGCGUUUUUUUUUUGCUAGGUGAUACAAAACGCAACUAUCAUCACCCCGGAUUUAGCACGAGUUACCACUUUACCCGAUGUAUUAUAAUGACGUACGAACCGACAAUUAAAUACAGAUUUAUGCGUAUAUCAAUUUCCAGGCAAGCAAUGGCUAUACUCUUUUUUUGAGUUGUCCAAAAUAAGUAUGAAUCUUCGUUUUACAAGAAACACAUUUACAAAGUAAUUUUAGAACUGAUACUUCGAUAAAGUUAUCAAAUCGGGUUUAAAAGGUUUGUUCAUGAUUGGAUCCACGCCCGGGCGGUGUGACCAGGCCUUAAAAGGCAUGGUUUGGAAAUGUCAUCAUAAUUUAAUGUUUACACCUAGUUCAUGAAACUUUUACAUAAAUGUAAUCAGCUUACUGAUCAUCUUGCAGGAGUUUCAGGUCACAUGAU